rnacentral:rRNA from 1 species
GCCCAGACUCCUACGGGAGGCAGCAGUGGGGAAUAUUGCACAAUGGGGGAAACCCUGAUGCAGCGACGCCGCGUGAGCGAUGAAGUAUUUCGGUAUGUAAAGCUCUAUCAGCAGGGAAGAAGAUGACGGUACCUGACUAAGAAGCCCCGGCUAACUACGUGCCAGCAGCCGCGGUAAUACGUAGGGGGCAAGCGUUAUCCGGAUUUACUGGGUGUAAAGGGAGCGUAGACGGCGGCGCAAGCCAGAUGUGAAAGCCCGGGGCUCAACUCCGGGACUGCAUUUGGAACUGUGUGGCUGGAGUGUCGGAGAGGCAGGCGGAAUUCCUAGUGUAGCGGUGAAAUGCGUAGAUAUUAGGAGGAACACCAGUGGCGAAGGCGGCCUGCUGGACGAUGACUGACGUUGAGGCCCGAAAGCGUGGGGAGCAAACAGGAUUAGAUACCCCUGUA